CAAUAGCGUAUAUUAAAGUUGUUGCAGUUAAAAAGCUCGUAGUUGGAUUUCGGAGCGGGCCAGUUGGUCCGCCGCAAGGUGUGUUACUGACUGGUCUGUUCUUCUUCGCAAAGACUGCGUGUGCUCUUCGCUGAGUGUGCGUAGGAUUUACGACGUUUACUUUGAAAAAAUUAGAGUGUUCAAAGCAGGCUGUCGCUUGAAUACAUGAGCAUGGAAUAAUGGAAUAGGACUUUGGUUCUAUUUUGUUGGUUUCUAGGACCGAAGUAAUGAUUAAGAGGGACAAUUGGGGGCAUCCGUAUUUCGUUGUCAGAGGUGAAAUUCUUGGAUUUACGAAAGACGAACAACUGCGAAAGCAUUUGCCAAGGAUGUUUUCAUUGA
rnacentral:rRNA from 1 species